rnacentral:rRNA from 1 species
AUUGAACGCUGGCGGCAGGCCUAACACAUGCAAGUCGAGCGCGCGGCGGACGGGUGAGUAAAGUCUGGGAAACUGUCUGUUGGGGGGGGGUAACUAUUGGAAACGGUGGAUAAUAUCGCAUACCAUCAGAUGUGCCCAGAUGGGAGUAGCUAGUGGGUGGGGUAACGGCUCACCUAGGCGACGAUCCCUAGCUGGUCUGAGAGGAUGACCAGCCACACUGGAACUGAGACACGGUCCAGACUCCUACGGGAGGCAGCAGUGGGGAAUAUUGCACAAUGGGCGCAAGCCUGAUGCAGCCAUGCCGCGUGUGUGAAGAAGGCCUUCGGGUUGUAAAGCACUUUCAGCGGGGAGGCGUUACCCGCAGAAGAAGCACCGGCUAACUCCGUGCCAGCAGCCGCGGUAAUAC